AGGAGUAAGAGACUGAACCGAAGGAGAGUGAGAGGGAGGACCAACACUGGAGGGAGAGAGGGUUGCCAUUCGCAGCAUGGUGGAGCGAGGACUCUCAGGGUCCAGCGAAUAGAGAAGCAGAGAAUCGGGAUCUGUACAACUCCCCAUCCUCCUAUUCACACAGCUUAGUUAUUAUCAAGGGGUUUUUCCUGCCCCCCUCCUUCCCCUCUCCUCCCUUGAUAAAGACCCUUCAGCUGGUAUUACUAAUCGUAUCCUUGGCUUAUUGUAAAAAAAUCUGUGAUGGCUUUCAAUCUGGAGAUCAGCCUCUAAUCCCCUCCAUCACACUCAGGACCAUGGGAUGCUGCCACAGCUACCCUCAGUGCGCACCUGGAGUUCUUGUUGGCUACACACACUUCCUCUAAUCAAAGUGAGGGGGGAGGCUUAGAGGUGUUUGGAAAAAUGUUUGCUGCUCCUGUGCAGUGUUAAAGGUGGAGUGUGUGCAUGUGUGGGGGGUGAUAUCCAUACCUCUCUGAGGUUUAACCAAAGCAAUCACCUGCAGCUAUGGAGUCACCAACUAAGGAAAUUGAAGAAUUUGAGAGCAACUCUCUGAAAUACCUGCAGCCGGAGCAAAUAGAGAAAAUCUGGCUUCGUCUCAGAGGACUGAGAAAAUAUAAGAAAACAUCACAGAGGUUGCGGUCUUUGGUAAAGCAGUUAGAGAGAGGAGAGGCUUCAGUUGUAGACUUAAAAAAGAAUUUGGAAUAUGCAGCUACCGUCCUUGAGUCAGUGUACAUUGAUGAAACCAGGCGUUUAUUGGAUACAGAAGAUGAGCUCAGUGAUAUCCAGUCAGACUCCGUGCCCUCUGAGGUCCGGGACUGGUUGGCCUCCACCUUCACACGGCAGAUGGGGAUGAUGCUUAAAAGGUCUGAGGAAAAGCCCCGGUUCAGGAGCAUUGUCCAUGCAGUGCAAGCUGGGAUAUUCGUGGAAAGGAUGUAUAGACGGACAUCAAAUAUGGUUGGACUGAGCUACCCACCAGCUGUAAUUGGAGUACUAAAGAAUGUAGACAAGUGGUCCUUCGACGUAUUUGCACUAAAUGAUGCUAGUGGUGAUCACGCGCUGAAAUUCAUUUUCUAUGAACUUCUCACACGCUAUGAUCUAAUCAAUCGCUUUAAGAUUCCCAUUUCUGCUCUCGUUUCCUUUGUCGAAGCAUUGGAAGUUGGAUACAGCAAACACAAAAAUCCUUAUCACAACCUAAUGCAUGCAGCAGAUGUAACACAGACUAUCCAUUACCUCCUUUUUAAGACGGGUGUAGCACACUGGCUGACAGAGCUAGAGAUAUUUGCUAUGAUCUUUGCAGCUGCUGUCCAUGACUAUGAACACACUGGAACCACCAACAACUUUCAUAUUCAGACACGGUCAGAUUCAGCCAUUCUGUACAAUGACCGGUCUGUGCUUGAAAACCACCAUGUAAGUGCGGCUUAUCGUCUUUUGCAAGAUGAUGAAGAGAUGAACAUUUUAGCUAAUCUCUCAAAAGAUGACUGGAGGGAAUUCAGGGCUUUGGUGGUUGAGAUGGUAUUGGCCACUGAUAUGUCCUGUCACUUCCAGCAAAUCAAAGCCAUGAAGAAUGCUUUGCAGCAGCCAGAAGGAAUCGACAAGCCGAAAGCCUUAUCACUGUUGUUACAUACAGCAGACAUCAGUCAUCCUGCCAAGGCCUGGGACCUCCAUCAUCGCUGGACUAUGUCCUUGCUAGAGGAGUUUUUCAGACAGGGUGAUAAAGAAGCAGAACUAGGGCUUCCUUUCUCACCACUGUGUGAUCGCAAAUCUACUAUGGUUCCUCAGUCUCAAAUAGGUUUUAUUGAUUUCAUUGUGGAACCUACUUUCACUGUGCUAACUGACAUGACUGAGAAGAUUGUAACACCACUCAUCGAUGAAGCCACCCGCUCUGGCAUGUCAGGAUUUAGGCGUUCCAGUUUGAAUAGCAUUAGCCCCUCAGAAGUUAAAAGAUCAAGUGUCAAAAGCACUGGAUCAGAAGGAAGUGCCUCAAUCAACUGUUCCAUACUCACUGUGGACUUCAAAUGUUUUAAAGCCACCUGGACUGAGGUGGUGCAACAGAACCGGGAGAAAUGGAAAGCACAAGCAACCAAAGAAGAAAAAGCUAAAAGAGAAGCAGAGGAAAAUGCUCACCAGGGUACAGAUGAAAAGAAUACAGAAGACAAAGAUGAAAAGAUGCCAGCUGAGGAUGCCACGGAAGCCAACUCAGAAAACAGCAAAGAAACAAAUCCAGAGGAAAGCAAGAGCGCGGAAUCCAGCAAGAAUCCUGUAAAUGGGACUCGGCAGACUGGUGUGAACAAGCACGAAGCCUCUCAAGGAAAAAAUGCAUCUAGAACAGACAAGGGAACUGAUUCACAACAAGCAACAGGAGAGGAAAAACAGCGUGUCCAGAACGGUGAAUUAAAAGAAGAUAAUAACAAAUCAGACAAGAAAGAUCAGUCAAAUGUGGGAAAUGAAUCAAAGACGACAGAUGCAACUGUCAUAUCAUAUUGCCAUGAAGUGUCUUGGACCCGUCUUUAUCAGUGACUUGGAUGAGGGAGUGGAAAACACAAUGAUUAAGUUUGCAGAUGGCUCCAAGCUGUGGGAAAUGCAGGCACAUCUGAGGACAGGAUACAGAAGAAUAAAAAAUAUAUAAAAGAGACUGCAAAUUUCUUUCAUCAUUUUAGCUGAGCUUCUUCAUUCCUCUCCUCCUCCUUCCGAAUAGACCAGUUUCUGGGGAAGGCGUUAUUACAGCUUUCAAAACACUCCUCCUCCCACUGGCUGCGUCACAGUUAAUGACUCUGGGUUUUGGGGAUUGUUUUUUCUUUUUCUUCUCUCUCUUUCUCUCUCUCUCUCUCUCUCCCUCUCUCUCUCUCUCUGUGCGCGCGCGCGUGGUGUGUUUUUGUUUCUUCAGUUCUUUGGGUUUUUUCCUUAACACAAUGACUCCACUUUCUGGACAGGCCAAGCAAAUAAAUGAGGACCCUCUUAGAAGCCAACACAGCUCUUUGCUAUAACCCCACUGUAUGAAACAUGGGAUGAAAUGGUGAAUAAGAAAAUCAAACCAUGUGGAAAGAGGCUUGAAAUUAUUGCACUUUUUUUUUUCAAGAGUCGUUUUCAACGGCUGCUAAGCAGACAACAUGAUAUCAGUUUUAGCCUUGCUACUGAGGAUUUUGUUCAUAAGCAUUGUGAGUUUCAGAAUCUGUAGCCUGUCAGGUUUAUGUCAGGCUCAUGAGGAUUUCAUAUAGUUACACAGCUUUUUGUGACACUAUCUGAUGAUACGGAUGGCUUCGUUUUUUUUAUUUUGCAGGCAAAUUCAUUCAGUCUUUGAAUUAUCUUGUUUAUGCAUUUAGCAAAACAGAAAAAAAAAGUAAUGACUCGCAAAUGUUACGUUCACAGGGGGCAGUUGCCCCUUCAGUCUCUAAGGGGACGUACGAUUUGUGAUGUCUUCCAUAGCUAGUAAUUACAAAUAACGAUCUGUUUCUCACAUCUGCUACUUGUAACUACUUUUAUCUGACCCAAAGGACUGAAAGGAAGAGGGCAGCAGGGAAUCACACAGAUCAAUUCCUUCUUUCAACUCAGUGUGACAUUUCUUUCAUCACUGAUUGAAUGGAUGAGUCAAAGGAUAGGAAAAAUGUAACUACAAAAGUCUGGUCAGACAAAGAAAGAUGAAAAACAGUGUGUCCCAAAUACACUGCUGGAGUCAGUGGGUACAAGUCUGUGGAGCUGAUAGAGUUGUACAUGUUGACACCAGCAGUGAAUUUGGCCGAGCUUUCAAGAUGAAAUAUAAACUAACUUGCUCAGGCCUUGGUUCAGCAAAGUAUCCUUUUCAUGAAAAGCAUUAAACACACACGUUUAAAUGCUUUGCUAAAUUUCAGCUUGGUAAGAAUCCAGCUCAUUACAGCUUAAUUUCACCUGUUUUACAUGUAAUUCAACACACACAUAUACACACAAGUUGUUUUUCUUGGUUCUUUUUAUUCAGUGUGUAGUCACCUAUUUUACCACCAGUUGGACUGCUUUCAUGCCCUUUUACUUCAUAGAAAAGAUGGAAAACACUAGCCUAGAAGAAAUCAACUCAUCUAUAUUUUGUUUUCAUGUUCAAAAGCACAGGACUUUAUAUUACCACCAGCCUAUAUUAGAAUUUAAAUCCCUGUUUCUACUUAAGAUGAAAAUGCACAGGGAUGAACAAUGUUUAGGAUGCCUGUAGGAAAUGUUGCCAUAUUUUGUACUAGUCUCACUUAACAUUAGCAAAACUGAGCUUUAUCUGGAUCUAGAUUUCAACUUUGAACUCCUUAGAUCUCAGGAGCGUUUGCGUCCAGGUUUUGGGGUCAACCCGUUAUUUAAGGCAAGAUCCAUUUGCAACAUUAAGAUUCAUAUUUGAAUUCUUAUUUCACACACCCUAACAUGAGUUUGUUCCAAGGUAGAGAUUUAGUUUUGGUUUGUCACAUACUAGGAACAAACUAACUCUUAAUGAAAUAUUUUUACUCGGAAGAAAUAUAUUUAAAAAAACUACUGUAGUGAAUCAAGAGUCAGGAAUUCAUCAGCUGGUCCCUCUUCAUACAAGGAAAAGAACCCAGAACAAUCUAAUUCCUUAAACCCCAGUUCUGCAGGUGCUGCUUCCUCAGAAUCUCCAUCAGCUUCAGCGUGGUCCACACCCACAGCAGCUAUAGUUUGACCUUCCAUCAUUGUUAAAUUCUCUAAAGAGACAAUGACAACAUAUAAAUAACAUAGAGACAAACACUGCAGUGCUGGCUCAACCUUCACUCAGCUGAAAUUCCUAUUGAAGUUAUUGGGGGUUUCAUGUGCAUAAGCUCUGAAGCAGUGGUAUAAGAUUUAGCUUAUAUUUCAACAAAAAUCCCUACCUAAUGUACUAAAGCUGCUUAGAUCAUUAAAACUGAAGUCAUUUAAAAAUUAAUUUAUCUCAAACUAUAACUAUUUUUCUUAUAAAACCUUGCUCUUGAGCAGUGAAAAGAGACUGUUUUAUUUAUGGUCGGCCAUUUCUUGGCUGUCACCCACUAGCCCAAUUCUGCAACAUCAGACUGUAUGUUUUCCUCUCUGUUAGGAUAAUAAACCAUUGGAAGAAACUGUCCCCAAAAAUAUAUUUUUCAUCUCCUGAUGACUUCAGAUCAUGUUUAGAUCCCAUUCUGCAAGGUAUAAUUUAGCCAAAUAUGAAUUAGUGGACAAUCAUGGAGGUAUUUGAGUGAAAUGUAAUGGUCUAUGAUAUAUAGGAUGUUAGACUUUCUGGCUUUAAAAAUCUGAAUAUAAACUCAUAAAACCCCAUAAAAAUAUCAUCAAAAUUGAAUAUAAACUUAUCACUAAAUUUUGCAAACAACAUAAAUGUGGGAGUUAAGAUACUACCAAUAGAAUGGUAAAGAUGAAAAGCUUUAUCUAUAUGAUUGUCUUUUCAGGAUCUGGGCCUAACUGACCACAUUCAAUGAGAAAGGAGUGGUACUCCUUUCUCAUUGAAACCUGUCUUAUUAAAACACUCAGGAGUAGUGGAGAGGCAAAAAAUAAUCCCUCUUGUCAUCUCAGUCAAACUACAGAAGAGAUGCUGCCUGCUUGUUAAAAAUCGCAAAACUGCUUCCAUUUAAUUUUCUCUUAUUUCACAAAAGAUUUCUAUGAGUGCAUUAAACUAAGGUUCCAUAUACAAGGAUGAAUGGAUCUGUAUGGGCCUAAUAAAUAUAGUAUCUUCAGUAGGGCUAUGUGAAGCUUCAGGUGGUGAUUAGAUUCGGAGGAGAUUUGGCCUGAUUCAGUGGCCAAAUCUCCGAAUCUGAAUUGAAUCAGGGGACCAAUUAAAAGGUCUGAAUUGAUUCAA